GCCCAUCGCUGUAGCUGUGGCGCCAUUUUAUAACAAACAAACAAAAACAAAAACAGCAAAGUGCAACAGACGCGCUACCAAGACUCGGAACAUGAGGAGGGACUUUUAUUUUUCACAUAUUUUUGGCGGAUUUUGUCUUCAUCUUUAGUUUGGGUGCUGGAUAUUGUUUUUGUUGAGUUUUGGACGAGGAUUUGGUAAAGCUGAGGAAAGAAGAUGGCGAACCACCCAUUCACUUCAGAUCUGGCGUCUGCUGCUGCAGUACCAGCCUACACUCCUAGGCGACCUUCAAGCUUGAGACAAGUCAACAAGAGGAAAAGAAAACAACCUCUGAUUCCCCUGACAUUGGAAAGUUACCUCUCUUAUCACCUUGUUUUUCCUGACGUGCAAAUGCAAAAUUACUGGGCCGUCACUUCCUUUGUCCCUCUCUACACUCCUUCUUUGAUGCCCCUUCUUUGUCCCUCCCACUGCAGGACACCUAACGCCCUCUUCCUCCACCUGGUGUCCUCAAACAUGACCCUGCCCGUGAUCACUGAUGUUAGCACUCAGAAUCCAUCUCAUGUCAAGGAAUGUAGUCUUCCACUUCCCAAACCACUGGUGCAACACCUCUGUAUGGCAACAACACGCCAUUAUUGGUCUCCAGUCAACAUGUGCACUUUCACGAGGCUGGCAAGGAACUCCACAGGGAGUUAUCCACUCUCGAUGUGUGUGCUUUUUUUUUUUUUUUUUUUUUUUUCAUUCCCUGUAAAUCCCCUGAGAAAAAGCAUUCACACCGAACACAACACUGAGGGCUGGUCACACCUCAUUAAUCAAGCAGAAAUCCUUGGUUUUUGCAGCCGUACACCUGUAUCCUUUCUAACAACUUCCACAAAUCUAUCAACACAUAAGGAAGACACGAGGACAGGUGUGCGUGUGUGCGUGCGUGCGUGUGUGUGUGAGAGAAUAAAGUGAGGCAGGCAUGAUUUACCCACAGCUUCCACAUUUCUGUCCUUCCCCACGUUCUCCUUGUGACUACUGUCCAGGUCAGCCCAGAUUUAUAAUUGGGUCCAGGAUGGGGGACUGGGUACAUAGGUAAUGGGAUAUCCCCAUCACACACACACACAACCCCACCUUCACCUGUCAUCCAUUCUCUUCCUUCAAGGCUACACAC